UGGAAGAAUCUUGGAGUUGGGAAUGUCACACGUAAUUGAAGGAAGAACAAGAAAACUAUAGCAGCUGCUCCCAACCCCAGAACCUUUGCUGUCUUGGGACGGAUCACCGCUGCAAGAGGGGAAGUUGCUACUGUGAUGAAUUCUGCCAUGUGGCACCAGACUGCCACCCAGACCACAGUGUCCUCUGCAACCCUGGUAACUCACAUACAGGCCCGAUUCCACCUACAGCAAAGCUGGAUGCGAUGGCUGGCAGAGGCAAACCCUUUGCCUGCACUUCAGGCCAAAGCCGGGAUGUGGCCUAGAUGGUUCCUAAGCUUCUCAGAUGACCAAGAUGGUGCUGCAGAUGGUGCUGAGGAUGGAGAACCCACCAAGCCCCGCUAGGAGCCACCUAGACUGGAUGCAGAGCAUGGUUCAGUGAGUUCUCCAAACCAGCCUCCCAGGAAUGCCAUUCAACAUGGCUGUGAGGAGAAUAAAGAAGAGAGCCUGACUCCUCUCCUGAGGCCCCUUCCCCACCCUGAGCCAGCA
rnacentral:lncRNA from 10 species